rnacentral:rRNA from 1 species
GACGAACGCUGGCGGCGUGCCUAAUACAUGCAAGUAGAACGCUGAAGAGAGGAGCUUGCUCUUCUUGGAUGAGUUGCGAACGGGUGAGUAACGCGUAGGUAACCUGCCUUGUAGCGGGGGAUAACUAUUGGAAACGAUAGCUAAUACCGCAUAACAAUGGAUGACACAUGUCAUUUAUUUGAAAGGGGCAAUUGCUCCACUACAAGGUGGACCUGCGUUGUAUUAGCUAGUAGGUGAGGUAAUGGCUCACCUAGGCGACGAUACAUAGCCGACCUGAGAGGGUGAUCGGCCACACUGGGACUGAGACACGGCCCAGACGCCUAAGGGAGGCAGCAGUAGGGAAUCUUAGGCAAUGGGGCAAACCUGACCGAGAAACGCCGCGUGAGUGAAGAAGGUUUUCGGAUCGUAAAGCUCUGUUGUAAGUCAAGAACGGGUGUGAGAGUGGAAAGUUCACACUGUGACGGUAGCUUACCAGAAAGGGACGGCUAACUACGUG